rnacentral:rRNA from 1 species
GAUGAACGCUGGCGGCGGGCCUAACACAUGCAAGUCGAGCGAUCGGCGGACGGGUGAGUAAUGUCUGGGAAACUGCCUGAUGGAGGGGGAUAACUACUGGAAACGGUAGCUAAUACCGCAUACCCUCAGAUGUGCCCAGAUGGGAGUAGCUAGUCGGUGGGGGCAUGGCUCACCUAGGCCACGAUCCCUAGCUGGUCUGAGAGGAUGACCAGCCAAACUGGAACUGAGACACGGUCCAGAGGCCUACGGGAGGCAGCAGUGGGGAAUAUUGCACAAUGGGCGAAAGCCUGAUACAGCCAUGCCGCGUGUAUGAAGAAGGCAUUCGGGUUGUAAAGUACUUUCAGCGGGGAGGCGUUACCCGCAGAAGAAGCACCGGCUAACUCCGUGCCAGCAGCCGCGGUAAUAC